UUGGCAGUCAUUGAACGCAUCACAGUGCCGUGAGCAAAGGCCUAGUCCAACUGCAAAAUUUCUUCUUUUCCUCCCGUCGAUCUGGUGAGAUGCAUGCUGUUCUGGUGCCCUCUGCGUUCUGGAAACCUGGAGAGAGAAAUCAUGAAGCGGUACGCGCUGAGCCGAGUCCGACAAGCAUUCGCCAUUACACCAACUCCUCUGCAUCCUGGUGUGUGUAGGCUGGUUUUUCCUUUGGUAUCCUGUUACUACUGGAUGAUGUUCCUCAUCUGAUGACUCCACUGAAACAUCCUACCUGGUAGAUGGUCGUUGCUGCAAGUGGAUGCUUCUGCUUUCUGGAUGCGGUUACUGGAUACUACACCAUUCCAACAGGGCGGUAGGAACAAAUUGGAGGGCCCCAACGUUGCACUUUACCUUUCCCUGAGCUCAGGGUUUGUUUUGUUUUGUUUUGUUUUUGUUUUUUUGGCCAAAGGACCUUGAAAAGUGUUUUGGUUUUUUUGGGAACACUGAGUGGAAAGACAGUAGAAGAAAAGGGUUAUUGUUUAAAAUUGUGUUUUAAUAAAUGUGUCUAUGUUAAGUGAGUGUGGUGUUCGUUGUGUGCUGGAGGUCUUGCUGUUCCUAUGGUGGAGCAGCUACUACCAAACUCCUUUACGAAACUAGCCUCUGAUGGGUUACAGAGUUUUGGGACACAUUUCAAUUCUUGUAACCUCUUUCUAUACAAAUUGUGAUUUCAUUUU